rnacentral:SRP_RNA from 1 species
CUUGGGGGGUCACGUGACCCCCAGAAAAACUUUUCCGCUAGAUUUAGCGCGGAAUUUUUUCCGCUAGAUUUAGCGGGGAAAUUUUUCCGCUAGGUUUAACGGGAAAAUUUUUCCGCUAGAUUUAGCGGGGAAUUUUUUCCGCUAAAUCUAGCAGGGAAAUUUUUCCGCUAGAUUUAGCGCGGAAAUUUUUCCGCUAAAUUUAGCGGGUUAAUUUUUCCGCUAGAUUU